rnacentral:rRNA from 1 species
GAUGAACGCUAGCGGGAGGCUUAACACAUGCAAGUCGAGGGGCAGCAUAGAGUAGCAAUACUUUGAUGGCGACUGGCGCACGGGUGAGUAACGCGUAUGUAACCUACCUUGUACAGGGGGAUAGCCCGGAGAAAUUCGGAUUAAUACCCCAUAAUGAUAUUUGCAGGCAUCUUUAGAUAUUUAAAGUUUCGACGGUACGAGAUGGGCAUGCGUGACAUUAGCUAGUUGGUAAGGUAACGGCUUACCAAGGCUACGAUGUCUAGGGGUCCUGAGAGGGUGAUCCCCCACACUGGUACUGAGACACGGACCAGACUCCUACGGGAGGCAGCAGUGAGGAAUAUUGGUCAAUGGGCGUAAGCCUGAACCAGCCAUCCCGCGUGAAGGAAGAAGGCGCUAUGCGUCGUAAACUUCUUUUCCGGAGGAAUAAAAUUUCGUACGCGUACGGGACUGAAGGUACUCCGGGAAUAAGCAUCGGCUAACUCCGUGCCAGCCGCCGCCGUAAGAC